rnacentral:tRNA from 2 species
GACUAUGUAGCUCAAUAGGCUAGAGCGAUGCCCUGUCACGGCAUAGGCAGUGGGUUCGAGUCCCACCAUAGCCG